rnacentral:lncRNA from 7 species
AGCCUAGUAGACAAGUGGAAGAGAUGGGCAUCAACUCUGCAUUCAGACUGCCUGAAAAUUUAAAUGAGUUUGGAUAAAACUUUGAAAUGGGUUGUUCCAUUCUUGCUACAGCUUCACCAGCUGCUGCUGCUUCUGGACUGCUGGUGUUUCCUCCUCCUUUGUAAGUGGGAGACACGGAGAGAAAGGAAACCAAAUCCCUAUGAAGAAAUGGGUUAUAGCAACUCUCUGUAUUCCUAUCUAAAGAUUGUAACUGAGCAGCGCUCUUUAGGGUGGUUUAAUUCUUCAGCAGCUCUUCCACAAGCAAAGACAUUUAUAAAGGAGGUAAACAUGAGGACAGUUGUGGAGGUGUUUCUUGAGUCUCUCAGUCACUGAUGAUGCUGACAACUUUGAGUUUUUGCUGCUGGUGUGAAAUUCUGUAUGGAUGUUUAAAAAUUAAUAUUCUUGAACAAAGUAGGAUUUCCUGUAGCAAAGGUUACAGUAUAUUUGUAAUUAAUUAUUGCUGUGAGAGUGUGUUCCCCAGCAGGGGUCUAUGAGUCUGCCAACAGGCAUAUAGAUAUAUGUAUAUUUAUACACGUACCCACAUAUGUAUUUAGAUAAGAAUUACAGUAUUUUUCAUUUGAUAUAUCAUUAUCAUAUCUGCGUUGUUACGGUUAUCUGUUGUGAGGGUAUAUAUGUUUAGUGCCCAUGUCUAUUACACAUUGUUAGUUUAAUGAAGAAUGAUGAUACUAACACAAGAUUAACUAGAUAUGAUCUAGAGCUUAUAAUCUCUUUUUUCAGACUCAGUUUAAAUUUAUUCUACAAAAGCUGAUGUUCAUUCAAAGUAUUAUUAUUGAAACUAUUGCUAUCAGAAUUAUUUCUAAACUUGGUUCUGUGGUUGUCAGUAGAAAAAGUAACUUGCCUUUAGAACUGUUGUUAUUCUAUGUUAUUUUAUUUUAUUUUUUUAAAAGCUCAAUGACAUAUUUAAAUUGGUUCAUUUUCUGGUGCUGUGUCACAAAUUGGUGUUUUGCCAGAAAAACAGGGUAUGUAUCAAAUCACAUCUUUUAUUUUCAUGCUUGGUGAUUUGCAGUGAUCUGUGGACUGAAGUCUGCAUUAAGGCAUGGUUUUGGGAUACUUUCCCUACUUAGAAAGUUUCUUAUUGCUCCUUCCAUCACUGAUGUUUGCACCAUUUUUAUAUGUAUGUGUGCUAGGUAAAUGUAUAUAUUUACAUAUACACACGUGUGCACACCUAUAAUGAGCCAAAGCCAGAACAGCCUCUGUCUCAGCUUGUCUGCAAGUUAUGCACAUUCUAGGGAAUGAAACUUGAAUAAUGUUCAAAGAGAAAGCGUGUGAGUUAGCCCAAGGGCAGAAGCCACAGGUUACAUGAUUUUACAUAAUUUUGGUGGAGGGGGUGGAAAAAAAAGAAUCUCAUGUCAAUAUUACAGGAAAUAUUUUAGAAUGCAUUUAGAAUACAAACAGAAUGUUUGUCCUCACUGAUUUGUGCACGUACUUCAGUACAGUACUUUGUUUUCACCAUGCCAGGAUCCUUUUCCUACCUUCCCUUAAUAUAAUUCAUCACAAAAGGAAAAUAAAAUGAGAACAGUUUUU